GGUUAAUUAGUUUAAUGUAAAAUGCAGGUUUUGUAAGUCUGUGAUAAUUUUUUAUUAUUAACCU
rnacentral:tRNA from 1 species